GAAAAGAUUCAAGCAUGGUAUAAACCUCUCUUGAAUGAAUCUCAACAAUCUUAUCAUAUUCCCCUAACCCAAUAGAUGUAAUCAAUUCCAAUGAAUCUUCCAGUCCAUUUUCUUCAUAAACACCCAAAAUCCUCUCAUCAUCUUGCAAUGUACCUAACUUGCGUAAUUGUCCUUCAAUAUCAUAUAAUCUUUUUCUUUCUUUUCUUUUAAAAUCAUCAACUUUCUUAUACAUAAUAUUUCCAUUCUCCAAUAUACCAAUAAAACUCGCAUCAAAGGCACCUUCAUCUCGCGAGAGUACCUCCUCUUUUAUACCUCCAUAAUCUCGCUUUACAGUGGUACCUCCCCAAAAUCCUUAAAUCCUUCAACAAUCUUUGGCAAUGGUUUCUCCCUCAACCUAUCUCGAUUCCGUUCAUGGUUAGGAAGUAUUGUUAGAAAUUGUACAGCUUUCCUCCCAUCUUCGCUCCGUACCCUUGCAUAAGCAGAACCAUCGUCAAGUACUUUUGUUUCCAUCUGUGUUGCCGUAAUAUAAGGUUGUCCUAAAAUCAACGGAUAAGACGUUGUAUCUUGAACAAAGAAAUGUUGCU
rnacentral:lncRNA from 1 species